UUCCUGGUUGAUCCUGCCGGACCCCACUGCUAUCGGGAUAGGACUAAGACAUGCUAGUCAAGCGCUCACCAGCUAAAGGUGAGUGCGGCGCACAGCUCAGUAACACGUGGCUAACCUGCCCUUGGGACGGGGACACUCCCGGGAAACUGGGGUUAAUCCCCGAUAGGUGAAGAACUCUGGAAUGACUCUUCGCCCAAAAGGCGUUUACGCUAUGCUCGUAGGCGUUGCCCAAGGAUGGGGCCGCGUCCGAUCAGGUUGUUGGUGAGGUAAUGGCUCACCAAGCCUUUUACCGGUGCGGGCCGUGGGAGCGGGAGCCCGGAGAUGGGCACUGAGACAAGGGCCCAGGCCCUACGGGGCGCAGCAGUCGCGAAAACUUUGCAAUACACGAAAGUGUGACAGG
rnacentral:rRNA from 1 species